rnacentral:rRNA from 1 species
CAUGCCGUAAACGAUGAUUGCUAGGUGUGGGAGGUCUGACCCCUUCCGUGCCGGAGCUAACGCAAUAAGCAAUCCACCUGGGGAGUACGACCGCAAGGUUGAAACUCAAAGGAAUUGACGGGGGCCCGCACAAGCAGUGGAGUAUGUGGUUUAAUUCGAAGCAACGCGAAGAACCUUACCAGGUCUUGACAUCCAUCGAAUUCCGUGGAGACACGGGAGUGCCCUUCGGGGAACGAUGAGACAGGUGG